rnacentral:lncRNA from 1 species
UGUAUGUAUGUACACCUGACUAUGUAGAGGCGAUGCGAUGCCACUACUUGAAUGUGUAAUUUACGGUUUAGUUAUGUAAUUGUAUUUAGUUAAAUGCCACGACGCGACGCGACCGACCACCACAUCGUCCGGCGUACGAGAUUCUACUUUAAUCUAAACAUAAUAUUAUAAAUUACAUUAUAUAAUAAUAAUUAUAAUUAUAAUAACCGAAAACACCGGAACAUCUUCUGUAUUGAAUGUAUAUGUGACUAGAAGCG